GAGUGGCGAACUGGUGAGUAACACGUGGGAAACCUGCCCAGAAGCGGGGGAUAACACCUGGAAACAGAUGCUAAUACCGCAUAACAACUUGGACCGCAUGGUCCGAGCUUGAAAGAUGGCUUCGGCUAUCACUUUUGGAUGGUCCCGCGGCGUAUUAGCUAGAUGGUGGGGUAACGGCUCACCAUGGCAAUGAUACGUAGCCGACCUGAGAGGGUAAUCGGCCACAUUGGGACUGAGACACGGCCCAAACUCCUACGGGAGGCAGCAGUAGGGAAUCUUCCACAAUGGACGAAAGUCUGAUGGAGCAACGCCGCGUGAGUGAAGAAGGGUUUCGGCUCGUAAAACUCUGUUGUUAAAGAAGAACAUAUCUGAGAGUAACUGUUCAGGUAUUGACGGUAUUUAACCAGAAAGCCACGGCUAACUACGUGCCAGCAGCCGCGGUAAUACGUAGGUGGCAAGCGUUGUCCGGAUUUAUUGGGCGUAAAGCGAGCGCAGGCGGUUUUUUAAGUCUGAUGUGAAAGCCUUCGGCUCAACCGAAGAAGUGCAUCGGAAACUGGGAAACUUGAGUGCAGAAGAGGACAGUGGAACUCCAUGUGUAGCGGUGAAAUGCGUAGAUAUAUGGAAGAACACCAGUGGCGAAGGCGGCUGUCUGGUCUGUAACUGACGCUGAGGCUCGAAAGUAUGGGUAGCAAACAGGAUUAGAUACCCUGGUAGUCCAUACCGUAAACGAUGAAUGCUAAGUGUUGGAGGGUUUCCGCCCUUCAGUGCUGCAGCUAACGCAUUAAGCAUUCCGCCUGGGGAGUACGGCCGCAAGGCUGAAACUCAAAGGAAUUGACGGGGGCCCGCACAAGCGGUGGAGCAUGUGGUUUAAUUCGAAGCUACGCGAAGAACCUUACCAGGUCUUGACAUACUAUGCAAAUCUAAGAGAUUAGACGUUCCCUUCGGGGACAUGGAUACAGGUGGUGCAUGGUUGUCGUCAGCUCGUGUCGUGAGAUGUUGGGUUAAGUCCCGCAACGAGCGCAACCCUUAUUAUCAGUUGCCAGCAUUAAGUUGGGCACUCUGGUGAGACUGCCGGUGACAAACCGGAGGAAGGUGGGGAUGACGUCAAAUCAUCAUGCCCCUUAUGACCUGGGCUACACACGUGCUACAAUGGAUGGUACAACGAGUUGCGAACUCGCGAGAGUAAGCUAAUCUCUUAAAGCCAUUCUCAGUUCGGAUUGUAGGCUGCAACUCGCCUACAUGAAGUCGGAAUCGCUAGUAAUCGCGGAUCAGCAUGCCGCGGUGAAUACGUUCCCGGGCCUUGUACACACCGCCCGUCACGCCAUGAGAGUUUGUAACACCCAAAGUCG
rnacentral:rRNA from 1 species